GGAAUCCAAUAAAUAUAGGGAAUUUUACUUACCAACCUACCGUAAUUGGGAACGAGAAACGAUUGUCGACUGUUCUAAACACCAACGAGAUCCAAUUGAAGAGAGGGUGAUUCGAUAAGAAGAGUGAAAUCGACGAUUCAAAAGUGGUGGAGGAUACGGCGAUAAAUAGGGUGCAAGGGCAAGGAAAAGAAAAAAAAGAAAGGGAAAGGAAAAAAAAAGAAAAUAGAGGAGAAGGGAAGAACGGCGCAAAGGAGAGGAGAAUAGAGGAGAAAGGGAGGUGGCUAGGGAAACAGAGGAGAGAAAAUAGAGAAUUAAGGUUAGGG
rnacentral:lncRNA from 1 species